rnacentral:lncRNA from 1 species
UAGCCUUCCUAUCCCUACCUUUCUUCUCUCCUUGUCUUCCAUAAUUCUCUUCCUAGGCUCUUGUCCUAAAAUCGGACUUAUCUUUAUUAUUUUUGGACUUAUUAUAAUAAGAGAAAGAAGAGACUAAUUAGAUAAUAGGGAGAGUGUGUAAGAAAGAAUAGAUAGGAGCAAUUUUCUGAAUGAAUCAAAUCUCUGACGCAGCCCCCUUUUAAUAGUUAGC